UACGUAGGGGGCAAGCGUUGUCCGGAAUCAUUGGGCGUAAAGAGCGUGUAGGCGGCCCGAUUAGUCCGCUGUGAAAGUCCAGGGCUCAACCCUGGAAUGCCGGUGGAUACUGUCGGGCUAGAAUCCGGAAGAGGCGAGUGGAAUUCCUGGUGUAGCGGUGAAAUGCGCAGAUAUCAGGAGGAACACCAAUGGCGAAGGCAGCUCGCUGGGACGGUAUUGACGCUGAGACGCGAAAGCGUGGGGAGCAAACAGG
rnacentral:rRNA from 1 species